rnacentral:rRNA from 1 species
UACGGGGGGGGCAAGCGUUGUUCGGAAUUACUGGGCGUAAAGGGCUCGUAGGUGGCCAACUAAGUCAGACGUGAAAUCCCUCGGCUUAACCGGGGAACUGCGUCUGAUACUGGAUGGCUUGAGUUCGGGAGAGGGAUGCGGAAUUCCAGGUGUAGCGGUGAAAUGCGUAGAUAUCUGGAGGAACACCGGUGGCGAAGGCGGAAUCCUGGACCAAUUCUGACGCUGAGUGAGCGAAAGCCAGGGGAGCAAACGGG